rnacentral:tRNA from 1 species
GGGGCCGUGGGCUAGCCUGGUAUGCUACUAGGUUCGGGACCUAGAGACCUGAGUUCAAAUCUCGGCGGCCCCAC